AGUUCAAUGGUGUAGCUGGUAACACAUCCUGUGGUCUGGAUGUUGCACAAUCACUUUUAGCAGGAUAUCUGGAGUUCAAUUCUCUGUUGAGCUA